rnacentral:rRNA from 1 species
UACGUAGGUGACCAGCGUUGUCCGGAUUUACUGGGCGUAAAGAGCGCGCAGGCGGUCGUUCAAGUCGAGUGUGAAAGCCCCCGGCUCAACUGGGGAGGGUCAUUCGAUACUGAUCGACUUGAAGGCAGGAGAGGGAAGUGGAAUUCCCGGUGUAGUGGUGAAAUGCGUAGAUAUCGGGAGGAACACCAGUGGCGAAGGCGACUCCUGGCCUGUUCUUGACGCUGAGGCGCGAAAGCUAGGGGAGCAAACGGGAUUAAGAAACC